rnacentral:rRNA from 1 species
UGAGGAAUUUUGCGCAAUGGGGGAAGCCCUGACGCAGCAACGCCGCGUGGGUGAUGAAGGCCUUCGGGUCGUAAAGCCCUGUCGGGCGGGAAGAACGUCCCUUCGGGGAGUGACGGUACCGCCAGAGGAAGCACCGGCUAACUCCGUGCCAGCAGCCGCGGUAAUACGGAGGGUGCAAGCGUUAUUCGGAAUAACUGGGCGUAAAGGGCGUGCAGGCGGGAGCGCAAGUCGGAUGUGAAAGCCCGGGGCUUAACCCCGGAAGGGCAUUGGAAACUGCUUGUCUUGAGUUCUGGAGAGGAAGGGGGAAUUCCCGGUGUAGAGGUGAAAUUCGUAGAGAUCGGGAGGAACAUCAGUGGCGAAGGCGCCCUUCUGGACAGCAACUGACGCUGAGGCGCGAAAGCGUGGGGAGCAAACA